rnacentral:ncRNA from 1 species
UUAUGUGCGAAGAAGAGAAGAGUACAUCUGGGAACACUUUGACAGAGAACCUGGUAAGCUGAGAGCAGGGAAAGAAGGAACAGAUGGAAGAUGGUCUUGGAGCAUUCUUUGUGAGACAUAUGUUUAGCAGAGAACGGGAACACCCGUUACAGUGUAGACUGGUAAUAGCCAGUUGGUAAGGUCAGCAUAGUGAUAUGCAGAUGAAUUAAAGUGGUACCGUGAGAGAAUAGCUCGCCUUUAAG